rnacentral:rRNA from 1 species
CAGCCGCCGCGGUAAUACGGGGGGUGCAAGCGUUAUUCGGAAUUACUGGGCGUAAAGAGCGCGUAGGCGGUCUCUUAAGUCGGGUGUGAAAGCCCGGAGCUCAACCCCGGAAGUGCACUCGAAACUAAGGGACUUGAGUAUGGGAGAGGGAAGUGGAAUUCCUGGUGUAGCGGUGAAAUGCGUAGAUAUCAGGAGGAACACCGGUGGUGAAGGCGACUUCCUGGACCAAUACUGACGCUGAGGCGCGAAGGCGUGGGGAGCAAACAGGAUUAGAUACCCUGGUAGUCCACGCAGUAAACGGUGAACACUAGGUGUAGCGGGUAUUGACCCCUGCUGUGCCGCAGCAAACGCAUUAAGUGUUCCGCCUGGGGAGUACGGCCGCAAGGUCAAAACUCAAAGGAAUUGACGGGGGCCCGCACAAGCGGUGGAGCAUGUGGUUUAAUUCGACGCAACGCGAAGAACCUUACCUGGAUUUGACAUCCCGGGAAUCUUUUUGAAAAAUUUGAGUGCCCUUCGGGGAGCCCGGUGGCAGGUGCUGCAUGGCUGUCGUCAGCUCGUGUCGUGAGAUGUUGGGUUAAGUCCCGCAACGAGCGCGACCCCUUUCUUUAGUUACCAUCAUUUAGUUGGGGACUCUAAAGAUACUGCCCCGGUUAACGGGGAGGAAGGUGGGGAUGACGUCAAGUCCUCAUGGCCUUUAUGUCCAGGGCUACACACGUGCUACAAUGGGCUGUACAAAGGGUUGCCAGCCCGCGAGGGUGAGCUAAUCCCAGAAAGCAGUUCGUAAUUCGGAUUGGAGUCUGCAACUCGACUCCAUGAAGCUGGAAUCGCUAGUAAUCGUGGAUCAGCAUGCCACGGUGAAUACGUUCCCGGGCCUUGUACACACCGCCCGUCACACCAUGAGAGUUGGCUGUACCAGAAGUCGUUGGGCAAACCCUUCGGGGAUGCAGGCGCCUAAGGUAUGGCUGAUGAUUGGGGUGAAGUCGUAACAAGGUAGCCGUA